CAGUCGCCGCGGUAAUACGAAGGGGGCUAGCGUUGUUCGGAUUUACUGGGCGUAAAGCGCACGUAGGCGGAUCGAUCAGUCAGGGGUGAAAUCCCAGAGCUCAACUCUGGAACUGCCUUUGAUACUGUCGAUCUGGAGUAUGGAAGAGGUAAGUGGAAUUCCGAGUGUAGAGGUGAAAUUCGUAGAUAUUCGGAGGAACACCAGUGGCGAAGGCGGCUUACUGGUCCAUUACUGACGCUGAGGUGCGAAAGCGUGGGGAGCAAACAGGAUUAGAUACCCCAGUAGUCCCUGUCUCUUAUAA
rnacentral:rRNA from 1 species